GGGGGCGUAAUGGUUUCGACGGGGAUGUUGAAGCAUAAGUAGCGAGUAGUGGACCAGGGCCACUAUAAAACUUGGAAAAAUAAAUAUAAACGCUGAAGAUAAUUUAGCAUUUGCUGCCUAAUUAAGGGCAGCCGUUCAACCUAGGAUUACCGCGGCUUAGGAUUGGGCGUCGACUAGCGGUGAACGUGACAUAGCAAAGCUUUGAGCUAUGCAUGACAAAUGAAGCUACUAAAACUGUAAGCCUGUGAGUGGGCGUACAGCGGAGGGAAUGUCAGUUCACUCACUGCACUCGGAGAGACUUAUGUGAAUAUGUUUUCGGACAGGGGUUCGAUUCCCCUCGCCUCCACCA
rnacentral:sRNA from 1 species